CACACUGCCCCUCAUACACACACACUGCCCCCCAUACACACACACAUUGCCCCCCAUACACACACACUGUCCACACUCACACAUACACUGCAAUACUCACACACACACUGCAUCCCUGACAUACACUGCCGCCCUCACUCACAUACUACAACCUUCACACACACACACACUGCUCACACACUGUCCCCCUCUCACACACACACACACACACA